rnacentral:rRNA from 1 species
GAUGAACGCUGGCGGCGUGCCUAAUACAUGCAAGUCGAGCGAACAGACAAGGAGCUUGCUCCUCUGACGUUAGCGGCGGACGGGCGAGUAACACGUGGAUAACCUACCUAUAAUACUGGGAUAACUUCGUGAAACCGGUGCUAAUACCGGCUCAUAUAUUGAACCGCAUGGUUCAAUAGAUAUUCACGGUUUUGCUGUCACUUAUAGAUGGUUCCGCGCCGCAUUAGUUAGUUGGUAAGGUAACGGCUUACCAACGCGACGAUGCGUAGCCGACCUGAGAGGGUGAUCGGCCACACUGGAACUGAGACACGGUCCAGACUCCUACGGGAGGCAGCAGUAGGGAAUCUUCCGCAAUGGGCGAAAGCCUGACGGAGCCACGCCGCGUGAGUGAUGAAGGUCUUCGGGUCGUAAAGCUCUGUUAUUAGGGAAGAACAAAUGUGGAAGAAACUAUGCACGUCUUGACGGUACCUAAUCAGAAAGCAACGGCUAACUACGUG